rnacentral:rRNA from 1 species
AUUGAACGCUGGCGGCAGGCCUAACACAUGCAAGUCGAGCGGAUGAAGGGAGCUUGCUCCUGGAUUCAGCGGCGGACGGGUGAGUAAUGCCUAGGAAUCUGCCUGGUAGUGGGGGAUAACGUCCGGAAACGGGCGCUAAUACCGCAUACGUCCUGAGGGAGAAAGUGGGGGAUCUUCGGACCUCACGCUAUCAGAUGAGCCUAGGUAGGAUUAGCUAGUUGGUGGGGUAAAGGCCUACCAAGGCGACGAUCCGUAACUGGUCUGAGAGGAUGAUCAGUCACACUGGAACUGAGACACGGUCCAGACUCUUACGGGAGGCAGCAGUGGGGAAUAUUGGACAAUGGGCGAAAGCCUGAUCCAGCCAUGCCGCGUGUGUGAAGAAGGUCUUCGGAUUGUAAAGCACUUUAAGUUGGGAGGAAGGGCAGUAAGUUAAUACCUUGCUGUUUUGACGUUACCAACAGAAUAAGCACCGGCUAACUUCGUG